AGAGUUUGAUCCUGGCUCAGGACGAACGCUGGCGGCGCGCCUAACACAUGCAAGUCGAACGAGCGAGAGAGAGCUUGCUUUCUCGAGCGAGUGGCGAACGGGUGAGUAACGCGUGAGGAACCUGCCUCAAAGAGGGGGACAACAGUUGGAAACGACUGCUAAUACCGCAUAAGCCCACGGCUCGGCAUCGAGCAGAGGGAAAAGGAGCAAUCCGCUUUGAGAUGGCCUCGCGUCCGAUUAGCUAGUUGGUGAGGUAACGGCCCACCAAGGCGACGAUCGGUAGCCGGACUGAGAGGUUGAACGGCCACAUUGGGACUGAGACACGGCCCAGACUCCUACGGGAGGCAGCAGUGGGGAAUAUUGCACAAUGGGGGAAACCCUGAUGCAGCGACGCCGCGUGGAGGAAGAAGGUCUUCGGAUUGUAAACUCCUGUUGUUGAGGAAGAUAAUGACGGUACUCAACAAGGAAGUGACGGCUAACUACGUGCCAGCAGCCGCGGUAAAACGUAGGUCACAAGCGUUGUCCGGAAUUACUGGGUGUAAAGGGAGCGCAGGCGGGAAGACAAGUUGGAAGUGAAAUCUAUGGGCUCAACCCAUAAACUGCUUUCAAAACUGUUUUUCUUGAGUAGUGCAGAGGUAGGCGGAAUUCCCGGUGUAGCGGUGGAAUGCGUAGAUAUCGGGAGGAACACCAGUGGCGAAGGCGGCCUACUGGGCACCAACUGACGCUGAGGCUCGAAAGUGUGGGUAGCAAACAGGAUUAGAUACCCUGGUAGUCCACACCGUAAACGAUGAUUACUAGGU
rnacentral:rRNA from 1 species